rnacentral:rRNA from 1 species
AUUGAACGCUGGCGGCAUGCUUUACACAUGCAAGUCGAACGGCAGCACGGGGUGCUUGCACCUGGUGGCGAGUGGCGGACGGGUGAGUAAUGCAUCGGAACGUGUCCUGAAGUGGGGGAUAACGCAUCGAAAGAUGUGCUAAUACCGCAUAUUCUCUGAGGAGGAAAGUAGGGGAUCGAAAGACCUUAUGCUUUUGGAGCGGCCGAUGUCUGAUUAGCUAGUUGGUAGGGUAAUGGCUUACCAAGGCGACGAUCAGUAGUUGGUCUGAGAGGACGACCAGCCACACUGGGACUGAGACACGGCCCAGACUCCUACGGGAGGCAGCAGUGGGGAAUUUUGGACAAUGGGCGCAAGCCUGAUCCAGCAAUGCCGCGUGAGUGAAGAAGGCCUUCGGGUUGUAAAGCUCUUUCAGUUGAGAAGAAAAAGUCGUGACUAAUAAUCAUGAUUCAUGACGGUAUCAACAGAAGAAGCACCGGCUAACUACGUG